AGGACGAACGCUGGCGGCGUGCUUAACACAUGCAAGUCGAGCGGUAAGGCCUUUCGGGGUACACGAGCGGCGAACGGGUGAGUAACACGUGGGCGAUCUGCCCUGCACUCUGGGAUAAGCCUGGGAAACUGGGUCUAAUACCGGAUAUGACCUGCUCUCGCAUGGGGGUGGGUGGAAAGAUUUAUCGGUGCAGGAUGGGCCCGCGGCCUAUCAGCUUGUUGGUGGGGUAAUGGCCUACCAAGGCGACGACGGGUAGCCGACCUGAGAGGGUGACCGGCCACACUGGGACUGAGACACGGCCCAGACUCCUACGGGAGGCAGCAGUGGGAAUAUUGCACAAUGGGCGAAAGCCUGAUGCAGCGACGCCGCGUGAGGAUGAAGGCCUUCGGGUUGUAAACCUCUUUCAGCAGGACGAAGCGCAAGUGACGUACCUGCAGAAGAAGCACGGACUAACUACGUGCCAGCAGCCGAC
rnacentral:rRNA from 1 species